UACGUAGGUGGCAAGCGUUGUCCGGAAUUAUUGGGCGUAAAGCGUGCGCAGGCGGUUUGUUAAGUCCGUUGUGAAAGCCCCGAGCUCAACUUGGGAAUUGCAGUGGAUACUGGCAGGCUGGAGUACGGUAGAGGAAGGUGGAAUUCCCGGUGUAGCAGUGAAAUGCGUAGAUAUCGGGAGGAACACCAGUGGCGAAGGCGGCCUUCUGGACCAGUACUGACGCUCAUGCACGAAAGCGUGGGGAGCAAACAGG
rnacentral:rRNA from 1 species